rnacentral:lncRNA from 1 species
UUGAAUCUCGCACCUCAGUCGAGUCGACUCCAAGUAUUCCAGAGUCGACCCUCAAGUUAACCGAGUCGACUCCAAUAAGGUCCGAGUCGACUUCGAGGCAAAUCAGCUUCCUAAAGACAAAGAAGAAGAGGAAGCAAGAAGAAAGAAAGAAAGAGAUAAAAAGGAAGAAAGUCUUGACCAAGGAAGAGUCAAGCAAGGAAAUAAAAGCUAGGAGCAACAAUAAUGAUAUUAGCUCCAAGGAACUACAAGAGGUAACUAACUUUUGCUUUAUGGCACAAGAAGAUAAGGUAAAAUCUGAAUCUAAUUUUACACCAAAUGAAUUUCAUGAA